rnacentral:rRNA from 1 species
GACGAACGCUGGCGGCGUGCUUAACACAUGCAAGUCGAACGAAGAGCGAUGGAAGCUUGCUUCUAUCAAUCUUAGUGGCGAACGGGUGAGUAACGCGUAAUCAACCUGCCCUUCAGAGGGGGACAACAGUUGGAAACGACUGCUAAUACCGCAUACGAUCUAAUCUCGGCAUCGAGGAUAGAUGAAAGGUGGCCUCUACAUGUAAGCUAUCACUGAAGGAGGGGAUUGCGUCUGAUUAGCUAGUUGGAGGGGUAACGGCCCACCAAGGCGAUGAUCAGUAGCCGGUCUGAGAGGAUGAACGGCCACAUUGGGACUGAGACACGGCCCAGACUCCUACGGGAGGCAGCAGUGGGGAAUCUUCCGCAAUGGACGAAAGUCUGACGGAGCAACGCCGCGUGAGCGAUGACGGCCUUCGGGUUGUAAAGCUCUGUUAAUCGGGACGAAAGGCCUUCUUGCGAAUAGUGAGAAGGAUUGACGGUACCGGAAUAGAAAGCCACGGCGAACUACGU